AUUGAACGCUGGCGGCAGGCCUAACACAUGCAAGUCGAGCGGAUGAAGGGAGCUUGCUCCUGGAUUCAGCGGCGGACGGGUGAGUAAUGCCUAGGAAUCUGCCUGGUAGUGGGGGAUAACGUCCGGAAACGGGCGCUAAUACCGCAUACGUCCUGAGGGAGAAAGUGGGGGAUCUUCGGACCUCACGCUAUCAGAUGAGCCUAGGUCGGAUUAGCUAGUUGGUGGGGUAAAGGCCUACCAAGGCGACGAUCCGUAACUGGUCUGAGAGGAUGAUCAGUCACACUGGAACUGAGACACGGUCCAGACUCCUACGGGAGGCAGCAGUGGGGAAUAUUGGACAGUGGGCGAAAGCCUGAUCCGGCCAUGCCGCGUGUGUGAAGAAGGUCUUCGGAUUGUAAAGCACUUUAAGUUGGGAGGAAGGGCAGUAAGUUAAUACCUUGCUGUUUUGACGUUACCAACAGAAUAAGCACCGGCUAACUUCGUGCCAGCAGCCGCGGUAAUACGAAGGGUGCAAGCGUUAAUCGGAAUUACUGGGCGUAAAGCGCGCGUAGGUGGUUCAGCAAGUUGGAUGUGAAAUCCCCGGGCUCAACCUGGGAACUGCAUCCAAAACUACUGAGCUAGAGUACGGUAGAGGGUGGUGGAAUUUCCUGUGUAGCGGUGAAAUGCGUAGAUAUAGGAAGGAACACCAGUGGCGAAGGCGACCACCUGGACUGAUACUGACACUGAGGUGCGAAAGCGUGGGGAGCAAACAGG
rnacentral:rRNA from 1 species